rnacentral:rRNA from 2 species
UUGGAGGGCAAGUCUGGUGCCAGCAGCCGCGGUAAUUCCAGCUCCAAUAGCGUAUAUUAAAGUUGUUGCAGUUAAAAAGCUCGUAGUUGAAUUUCGGGAUUUAUCCGUUGGUCGGGCUUUUGGGUCUGUACUGGCGUGAUGGAUUUCUACCUUCUGAAUAACCGGCAUGUCAUUAAUUUGGUGCGCCGGGGAAGCAGGACUGUUACCUUGAAAAAAUUAGAGUGCUUAAAGCAGGCUAUUGCCUGAAUACAUUAGCAUGGAAUAAUGAAAUAGGACGGCAUGGUUCUAUUUUGUUGGUUUCUAGGAUCACCGUAAUGAUUAAUAGGGAUAGUUGGGGGCAUUAGUAUUCAAUUGUCAGAGGUGAAAUUCUUGGAUUUAUUGAAGACUAACUUCUGCGAAAGCAUUUGCCAAGGAUGUUUUCAUUAAUCAAGAACGAAAGUUAGGGGAUCGAAGACGAUCAGAUACCGUCGUAGUCUUAACCAUAAACUAUGCCGACUAGGGAUCGGACGAUGUUAAUUUUUUAAUGACUCGUUCGGCGCCUUACGGGAAAC